GCCGCGGCUACCCGAUCUCCCCUGUUCUCCUCAAUCUCGCUCAAACUUCGUCCUCCGCCCGGCCCCCAGUAGGUGUUUCGAAUUCGCGACUCGGGCUCCGCCCCCGGUGGACACCGCCCCCUGGUGGGACACCACCUCCAAAGCCGAGGUUCCGCCCCUCCCUGCCCGAACCCCGCGUUUUCAGUGCGGGGCCCUCCCUCGGGUCGCUCUCUGGGCCCUAGCUCCGCCCCCGGCCGGCUUCCUAAGUGACGCUCUGCCUCCCCGUCGCCUCCCAGACCCUGCUCCUUUCCCCCGCCUCCCACCCCAACCUCUGGGGCUGUGCCUCCGCCCCCUACCGCCUUUCUGGGCUCUGGCUUUCGCCACUGAUUUGCUUCCUGGGUUAUAGAUUUGUCCCACUCCGCCUCUUCGGUUCUGGCUCCUCCUCUCCCCGCCUGGAGUCCGCCCUUGCCGCAGCCCCCAAGGGCAAAGGUCCUGCCCCUCCGGGACUGGCCACGUCUCCUAGGGUCUGUCUCCGCCCCUUUCAGCCCUGAUUUCUCUCACGCCCCGCCUCUAGGGCCGAGGCUCCGCCCCUCCAGGCUGGCCCCUCCUUCUGGGUUCUGACUCCGCCCCCCGCCCGGACUCCGCCCCCAUUGCCAGGGCCUUCUAGAGGCUGCGCUGUCCCGGGCCAGGCUCGGUGGCGCGGAGGCACUGAGGAGCGUCAUGCAAUGCCUGGGAAUCCCGAGCCGGAGCCGCUCCAGGGAGCUCUACCUGCAGGAGCAGAGCCUCAGGGUGGCGGCGCUCAAUGGGCAGAGGCUGGGCCUACAGGAUGACGAGGACCUACAGGCACUGCUAAAGGGCAGCCAGCUCCUGAAGGUGAAGUCCAACUCAUGGCGGAGAGAGCGUUUCUACAAGUUGCAGGAAGACUGCAAGACCAUCUGGCAGGAGUCCCGCAAGGUCAUGCGGACCCCGGAGUCCCAGCUGUUCUCCAUUGAGGACAUUCAGGAGGUGCGGAAGGGGCACCGCACGGAGGGCAUGGAGAAGUUUGCCCGGGAUGUGCCCGAGGACCGCUGCUUCUCCAUUGUCUUCAAGGACCAGCGCAACACACUAGACCUCAUAGCGCCGUCGCCGGCCGAGGCCCAGCACUGGGUGCAGGGUCUGCGCAAGAUCAUCCACCACUCGGGCUCCAUGGACCAGAGGCAGAAGCUGCAGCAGUAUCCUUCUGGUGGCAGUGGGUUCUGGCCCAGCCUGUGGAUCCUGGCUGUGGUCAUCACCAGGGCAGCCUGCGUGUGGAAGAUACCCAGCUUGGGCCGUCAUAUGGACAUAGCAGAGGCUGGGCAGCUCACACAACGGAAAUGAAUCUCACGGUUCUGGAGGCUGGAGACCCGAGGUCUGGGGGCCAGCGUGGUCGGGUUCUGGACUUCCAGUUUUCCAAGGAGGAAAUUGACAUUCCCACCAGAAGUGUAUGAGGGUUCCAAUGUGUCACAUCUUCACUAAGGCUUGUUAGUACGGUUACUACUUUUUUAUCCUAGCCAUCCUUGUGGGUGUGAAGUGGUAUCUCAUUGUGGUCUCGAUUUGCAUUUCCUUGAUAGCUAAUGAUGUCAACUAUCUUUAUAUGUGUUUAUUGGUUAUUUCUAGAAAUAUCUAUCGGAUCCUUUGAGGAAAUAUCUGUCAGA